UACGUAGGGUGCAAGCGUAAUCGGAAUUACUGGGCGUAAAGCGUGCGCAGGCGGUCGUGUAAGACAGAUGUGAAAUCCCCGGGCUCAACCUGGGAACUGCAUUUGUGACUGCACGGCUGGAGUGCGGCAGAGGGGGAUGGAAUUCCGCGUGUAGCAGUGAAAUGCGAGAUAUGCGGAGGAACACCGAUGGCGAAGGCAAUCCCCUGGGCCUGCACUGACGCUCAUGCACGAAAGCGUGG
rnacentral:rRNA from 1 species